rnacentral:rRNA from 1 species
CAGAGGGUGCGAGCGUUGUUCGGAAUUACUGGGCGUAAAGCGCGCGCAGGCGGCUUCUUAAGUCUGCCGGUGAAAUGCCGGGGCUCAACCCCGAGCGUGCCGGAGAUACUGGGAGGCUGGAGACGAGUAGAGGCGAGCGGAAUUCCGGGUGUAGCGGUGGAAUGCGUAGAGAUCCGGAAGAACACCGGAGGCGAAGGCGGCUCGCUGGGCUCGGUCUGACGCUGAGGCGCGAAAGCGUGGGGAGCGAACAGGAUUAGAUACCCUGGUAGUCCACGCCGUAAACGAUGGGCACUAGGCGCUGGGGGGAUCGACCCUUUCGGUGCCGCAGCUAACGCGAUAAGUGCCCCGCCUGGGGAGUACGGCCGCAAGGCUG